rnacentral:lncRNA from 1 species
AAAACUCUCUGAAGUUUUUAUUUACCCAGCGCUCUGGCUCCCACUUCUGUUUUAAAAGAUUAUAAGUAAAUACUCUGCUCUUUCAAGUGAACCAAACCUAUCAAACCUGUUUAGAAAAUAAACCAGGCUUUCAGUCCAGUGUAAAGCUGUUGGAGCGCGGGAGCAAAGGUAAAGAAUGAUGUAAUGCGCUGGCUGCUCCAAAGCAUCUUUUGUUGUGGAAUGGUUAUUCCAGUCAUCUCUUUAUGAAUCAAAUGUGAGGGGCUGCUUUGUGGACGGAGUCCUUUGCAAGAGCACAUCAACGGGAAAGAGAAAGAGACAUUCACUUGGAGGGCUCUUGCUGAAAAUGGGUUUAACUCUCCUUUUGCCAGUCACCACCAGCCUGACCUCAUACACUUUUAGUACAAUGGAGUGGCUGAGCCUUUGAGCACACCACCAUUACAUCAUCGUGGCAAAUUAAAGAAGGAGGUGGGAAAAGAGGACUUAUUGUUGUCAUGGCCCAUGAGAUGAUUGGAACUCAAAUUGUUACUGAGAGGUUGGUGGCUCUGCUGGAAAGUGGAACGGAAAAA